rnacentral:rRNA from 1 species
UUCGUCACACUAUCAUUAACUGAAUCCAUAGGUUAAUGAGGCGAACCGGGGGAACUGAAACAUCUAAGUACCCCGAGGAAAAGAAAUCAACCGAGAUUCCCCCAGUAGCGGCGAGCGAACGGGGAGCAGCCCAGAGCCUGAAUCAGUGUGUGUGUUAGUGGAAGCGUCUGGAAAGGCGCGCGAUACAGGGUGACAGCCCCGUACACAAAAAUGCACAUACUGUGAGCUCGAUGAGUAGGGCGGGACACGUGGUAUCCUGUCUGAAUAUGGGGGGACCAUCCUCCAAGGCUAAAUACUCCUGACUGACCGAUAGUGAACCAGUACCGUGAGGGAAAGGCGAAAAGAACCCCGGCGAGGGGAGUGAAAAAGAACCUGAAACCGUGUACGUACAAGCAGUGGGAGCACAGAGCAAUCUGUGUGACUGCGUACCUUUUGUAUAAUGGGUCAGCGACUUAUAUUCUGUAGCAAGGUUAACCGAAUAGGGGAGCCGAAGGGAAACCGAGUCUUAACUGGGCGUUAAGUUGCAGGGUAUAGACCCGAAACCCGGUGAUCUAGCCAUGGGCAGGUUGAAGGUUGGGUAACACUAACUGGAGGACCGAACCGACUAAUGUUGAAAAAUUAGCGGAUGACUUGUGGCUGGGGGUGAAAGGCCAAUCAAACCGGGAGAUAGCUGGUUCUCCCCGAAAGCUAUUUAGGUAGCGCCUCGUGAAUUCAUCUCCGGGGGUAGAGCACUGUUUCGGCAAGGGGGUCAUCCCGACUUACCAACCCGAUGCAAACUGCGAAUACCGGAGAAUGUUAUCACGGGAGACACACGGCGGGUGCUAACGUCCGUCGUGAAGAGGGAAACAACCCAGACCGCCAGCUAAGGUCCCAAAGUCAUGGUUAAGUGGGAAACGAUGUGGGAAGGCCCAGACAGCCAGGAUGUUGGCUUAGAAGCAGCCAUCAUUUAAAGAAAGCGUAAUAGCUCACUGGUCGAGUCGGCCUGCGCGGAAGAUGUAACGGGGCUAAACCAUGCACCGAAGCUGCGGCAGCGACGCUGAUGCGUUGUUGGGUAGGGGAGCGUUCUGUAAGCCUGUGAAGGUGUGCUGUGAGGCAUGCUGGAGGUAUCAGAAGUGCGAAUGCUGACAUAAGUAACGAUAAAGCGGGUGAAAAGCCCGCUCGCCGGAAGACCAAGGGUUCCUGUCCAACGUUAAUCGGGGCAGGGUGAGUCGACCCCUAAGGCGAGGCCGAAAGGCGUAGUCGAUGGGAAACAGGUUAAUAUUCCUGUACUUGGUGUUACUGCGAAGGGGGGACGGAGAAGGCUAUGUUGGCCGGGCGACGGUUGUCCCGGUUUAAGCGUGUAGGCUGGUUUUCCAGGCAAAUCCGGAAAAUCAAGGCUGAGGCGUGAUGACGAGGCACUACGGUGCUGAAGCAACAAAUGCCCUGCUUCCAGGAAAAGCCUCUAAGCAUCAGGUAACAUCAAAUCGUACCCCAAACCGACACAGGUGGUCAGGUAGAGAAUACCAAGGCGCUUGAGAGAACUCGGGUGAAGGAACUAGGCAAAAUGGUGCCGUAACUUCGGGAGAAGGCACGCUGAUAUGUAGGUGAAGUCCCUCGCGGAUGGAGCUGAAAUCAGUCGAAGAUACCAGCUGGCUGCAACUGUUUAUUAAAAACACAGCACUGUGCAAACACGAAAGUGGACGUAUACGGUGUGACGCCUGCCCGGUGC